GAAAAUAUGAUUUCUAUGAUGGUUAAUGAUUUGAUAAAUAUAUUCUUUGUAUUAUUAUUUAGAUUGGGGAACUACUUCUUCCUGUGUAGUUUGUAUCCAUAGGGUUCACCGUAGUUAGGUUGGGCGGAGUGAUACGCCGCACACGAGGCUAGUUUCAAGUUUGUUACCGGCGACAAGGGUGCCACUUGUCUGUUUUCUUGAGCGGAGAAUAAAACAUAUACAAGUUGCUCUGAAGAAGCUGUCCCCGUGCUGUUCUUACCCACGACCCCAAAAAAAGACUUUAUUAAGGUGACGCUAACUUACACCCAGCGUUACAAUACCAUAAGUCCAAAAAUGCUGCUGCGUGUCUCGUUUGGCGGAGUGCAGAAGUACAUGAAGCUGCCUGAACUAACAUUCAGUGAUUUCUUGAGAGAAGUGAGUCUAAAAUUUAACAUUGCUGAAGACAGACGGUUGGACAUCAAGGUUUAUGACCAGUCUAGCACAGAGGUCGACUCUGAGGUUUUUGAGGAGAUCGUACAAGAGUUCCAUGGACCUUUCCUAAUUUCAUUGGCAAAUUAAGCACCUGGUAAUUGCUGCCUACCUGCAUAAGACUACACACACAUCGUUGAAGUGGAAGUGUUGAGCUAUGUAAUUGUGUUCUUAUUUCCCAAUACUCAGGUUACCCUCAGUCCACGUCAUCUCCAUGCUCUAUUGCAUCUGAAGACACAGUGAUCCUCAACUUCUCGUUGUGUGACCCAGCUGAGGAGCCAGUUGCAGCCGAAGGAAGUCAACCUAAAAGGCCUUGCCGCACUAACUAUGAAGCAAAAGCUCUGAUUGAAAAAAUCUUGACGACAAAGCCUGGAGGUGACCGUGUCAUGGAGGAGUAUGCGAAAACGAAAUCAAUUACAGAUUCAACCAGAAGACGGCUCAUCAACAUACUUACUGCAGAGAUGACGGAAACACAUGGGACAUCGCCGCCCCGGAGUGUAAAAGUGAUGCAUGCACAGGGGAUUGUCGCUCUGUUUCCAUACCUUGAAGACCCAUAUUCACAGACUGGCUAUGAACAUUACUACGAUCCUGAAAGUGGUUCAGGCUACAUUGCAUGGCGGUUGAAGACAAUUCAACGAAAAGCUGCUGAGGAAAGAGGUCCUGCAGUUAGUACAUCUCCUAAAGUUGGUGGGCCAGGCCAUGGGCGGACUAGACCCUUUACUGCCGACAGAGUCCUGACUGACGAGGAAGUGGAAUGCGCUAUCGCUUUGUUGAGACACACUGCUGAUGAGGAGACCAUCCGUGAAAAGAUGAAAGUCACUUUCGCAUACCGCCACGCCAUGGUCAAUGAUGAGAACAAAUCAGCAGAGGUCUUCUCAGUAUUUCCACGGUUCCUAGACACACCAGGACUGAUAGAACAAGAUUUUAGAGUGAUGUUUGGUGAGCAGACUGCCAACAAGUUCAUGGAGAGGUGGCCUACCACUUUCAAAGCAGGAGUCAUUAAGGAAAGCCAUGGACUGGUCCCCUCCACAGACCUUCUUGAUUUAAUGCGCAACGCUGAGACAUCUACUGAAGUUGAAAAAGGCUGGGACAGUGACAUGUCUGCCAUCAUACUGCUGCUACAUCUGCUACCACCAUCUGCACAGGGACGAAAGAGGCCAGGGAAGAUAUCUGCAUCUAAUGCAGUUGAUCACCUCAUCAAAUUCAAAAAGACGGGAACAAGUGUGCAGCAGCAUCUUGACAACAUCCUCAAAGCAGUCAGCCCUACCUCCUUGCUCACGGACCCACAAAAAGCAGCAUUCACUCUUUCUUCAUUGCCAUCGACAAGCAUGCACUUCCAUGCCAAGCCACCAGCUCGGUUGGAGCCCUGGAUGAGCUCUUCAAGGCCCACUAUGUGUUUGGUACAUCUUAUAGUCCUGCCUUGAACAACUUUUUCACUUUUCUGCAAACUUCCAUUUACAACAUUGACGUGGGGAAAACUAAGGAAACGCCAAGAAUUGCAGAGUUGCGAGCGAGAAUGGUGCGUUAGGCACUCUUAAAAUUAAACAAUGAGGUGCUUUCUUUGCAGCAAUGUCUUUGGUGAAGCAAACAAUCUAGUAAAGCACCUCAAAGUGAUACAUGGACUCUGUACGGGAAGGACUCUUAUCUUCAAUGUGGCCAAGUGGGAUGCUCACGGUUUUUCAAUAGUUUUUCUGGUCUUAGGAAGCAUCUGAAUAAGUGUCAUGUGAAUAGUGCAUGUGAUGUUAUUGUUGAAACUGAACCACCACAUUGUCAAAGUGUUCUUGAUAGUACUAAUGCAAAUCCCGCAGAAGAGACAUAUGAGGCUGAGGUUGAGUCAGAGCCAGCAUUAUCGUCAGAACACCUUGUAAAUAGUUGUGCCUCUGUCAUUUCAGAUCUAAAGGCAGCAGGUGUAGCCCAGUCUGUUGUUAAUUCUUUUGUGACCAAUGGAGGAUAUUGUGCAGGAAAUUCAUGAGCAUGCAAAAGAGUCAGUCAUCCAGGGUGUAUUUCGUGAUCAAAGAGACACUGAAACAUGCAAGAAUGUGGAGGGAUGUUUUAACCAAUUAGAGAAUCCAUUCACAGCUCUAAAUUCAGAUUACAAACAAUCAAAAUUUAUUACCAGCAAGUGGGAAACUGUGGAGCUUGUAAUUGGCUCAAGAUUUGACUCGAGGCUCAACAAAAACAGGAACAUAUGACCAAGUAGUUGUUAGAGACAAAUUUAUGUAUUUUAUCGACAUUAAAAUCAAUAUUUAAAAGUGAACAUGCUAGAGAAAUGCUCAAAAGCCCAAAUAUUAGUGAUUCAAAACUCAGAGAUAUUUGUGAUGGCUCUUUCUUCAACACUCAUCCUCUAUUUUCAUCAGAGAGACACACUAUACAGAUCCAAAUGUUUUAUGACGACUU
ensembl:lncRNA